rnacentral:rRNA from 1 species
AGAAGGUGUACCGUGAGGAGCGCUGGAACGCAUAGAAGUGAGAAUGCCGGUAUGAGUAGCGAAAGACAGGUGAGAAUCCUGUCCACCGUAAGACUAAGGUUUCCAGGGGAAGGCUCGUCCGCCCUGGGUUAGUCGGGACCUAAGGAGAGACCGAAAGGUGUAUCCGAUGGCCAACAGGUUGAUAUUCCUGUACUAGAGUAUAAAGUGAUGGAGGGACGCAGUAGGCUAACUAAAGCAGGCGAUUGGAAGAGCCUGUCUAAGCAGUGAGGUGUAAGAUGAGUCAAAUGCUUAUCUUUAUAACAUUGAGCUGUGAUGGGGAGCGAAGUUAAGUAGCGAAGUUAGUGACGUCACACUGCCAAGAAAAGCUUCUAGCGUUUAAUUAUACUCUACCCGUACCGCAAACCGACACAGG